UACAGAGGUCCCGAGCGUUGUUCGGAUUCAUUGGGCGUAAAGGGUGCGUAGGCGGCGGGGCAAGUCUGAUGUGAAAUCCCGGGGCUCAGCCCCGGAACUGCAUUGGAUACUGCCUUGCUAGAGUACUGGAGAGGGAACUGGAAUUUACGGUGUAGCAGUGAAAUGCGUAGAGAUCGUAAGGAAGGCCAGUGGCGAAGGCGAGUUCCUGGACAGUUACUGACGCUGAGGCACGAAGGCCAGGGGAGCAAACGGGG
rnacentral:rRNA from 1 species